rnacentral:tRNA from 1 species
CAGGGUGUAUUUCAAUAGUAGAUUGCUCGGUUCGGGACCGAGUGGCUGCAGGUGCAAGUCCUGCCACCCUGA